rnacentral:rRNA from 1 species
AUACGGAGGGUGCAAGCGUUACUCGGAAUCACUGGGCGUAAAGCGCGCGCAGGCGGUCUUUUAAGUUGGAUGUGAAAGCCUACGGCUCAACCGUAGAACUGCAUCCAAAACUAUUAGACUAGAGUGUGAGAGAGGAAGAUGGAAUUAGUUGUGUAGGGGUAAAAUCCGUAGAGAUAACUAGGAGUACCAAAAGCGAAGGCAAUCUUCUGGAACACUACUGACGCUGAGGCGCGAAGCGUGGGGAGCAAACAGAAUUAGAUACCCUAGUAGUCC